GCCCUUGCGCUAUCAGAUGAGCCUAGGUCGGAUUAGCUAGUUGGUGGGGUAAUGGCUCACCAAGGCGACGAUCCCGUAACUGGUCUGAGAGGAUGAUCAGUCACACUGGAACUGAGACACGGUCCAGACUCCUACGGGAGGCAGCAGUGGGGAAUAUUGGACAAUGGGCGAAAGCCUGAUCCAGCCAUGCCGCGUGUGUGAAGAAGGUCUUCGGAUUGUAAAGCACUUUAAGUUGGGAGGAAGGGUUGUAGAUUAAUACUCUGCAAUUUUGACGUUACCGACAGAAUAAGCAC
rnacentral:rRNA from 1 species